CGCGUAGACGGCCUGUUAAGUCGAACGUGAAAUCCCCGGGCUCAACCCGGGAACUGCGUCCGAUACUGGCAGGCUUGAAUCCGGGAGAGGGAUGUGGAAUUCCAGGUGUAGCGGUGAAAUGCGUAGAUAUCUGGAGGAACACCGGUGGCGAAGGCGGCAUCCUGGACCGGUAUUGACGCUGAGGCGCGAAAGCCAGGGGAGCAAACG
rnacentral:rRNA from 1 species